CAGCACCACAUAAAAAUAAAAUAAAGAUAUUGUAUUUUGCUGUUGUUCUUUUGGUUUGCACUAGGAUGCAAAAGAAAAUAAUCCCUGCGCUUUCUGUCUGUCUGUGUGGCAGUCCAGAUUGAAUUGGGGAAUACAGCU
rnacentral:snoRNA from 1 species